rnacentral:snRNA from 1 species
ACUUCAGGGUGAUCUUGCUAUGACAUUUGUCACCCCAUUGAUCAGUGUUGAUUGGGCUGAUCUGGUUGCCUAGGCAGGUGUCCCUUCCUCCCUCACCACUUCAGGUACAUCCCUCCUGAAGCUGAACAUUCUGACUCUCCCCCAUAAAGACUGUUCUUGGAUCAAGGGUGUAUGAGUAGUUGCAUCCGCUCCUCUGCUAGAACCUCCAAACAAACUCUCAAUGUCUGUUUGUAAGAGAACAUCGGGCAAUCAAGCUUCCAAGACUCUGAACACAACCAAAUGAGGCAUUGUAUACGGCAAUCACCCUUUCUUU